rnacentral:rRNA from 1 species
AGUGAACGCUGGCGGUAGGCCUAACACAUGCAAGUCGAACGGCAGCACAGUAAGAGCUUGCUCUUACGGGUGGCGAGUGGCGGACGGGUGAGGAAUAUAUCGGAAUCUACUUUUUCGUGGGGGAUAACGUAGGGAAACUUACGCUAAUACCGCAUACGCCCUACGGGUGAAAGCAGGGGAUCUUCGGACCUUGCGCGAUUGAAUGAGCCGCUGUCGGAUUAGCUAGUUGGCGGGGUAAAGGCCCACCAAGGCGACGAUCCGUAGCUGGUCUGAGAGGAUGAUCAGCCACACUGGAGCUGAGACACGGUCCAGACUCCUACGGGAGGCAGCAGUGGGGAAUGUGGGACAAUGGGCGCAAGCCUGAUCCAGCCAUACCGCGUGGGUGAAGGAGGCCUUCGGGUUGUAAAGCCCUUUUGUUGGGAAAGAAAAGCAGCAGGUUAAUACCCCGCUGUUCUGACGGUACCCAAAGAAUAAGCACCGGCUAACUUCGUG